UCUUCUUCCUCUCCCUCAACCUUCCCCUCUUUGUCUCUUUCUUCUUCUUUCUCUCUCCGAGUCUUCUUUCUCUCUCAGAGCGACAUCUUCUACUUUCUGCUUUCUUCCUCUUCAUUUCCCCUUUUCUUCAUCAUCUUCUUCAUUUCCCAAAACGAAACCGACACGGUUAUCAGAUUUUUUUGGAUUUCUGUUUAAAGAUACUGUUUAGAUAUUGUGGUUAGUGUUUUUGUGGUUUAUAUGAUGAUUUUGUGGUUUAUAUGAUGAUUUUGUGGUUAGGGUUUUUGUGAUUAUGGUUGAUAUCAUGAUUUUAUGGUUAGGGUUUUGAUGCUGCUAUUGGCCAAAUGGAGGUUACCGGCGAUUAGUGUGGUGGUGGUGGUGGAAACGGGUUUCCGCCGAUGAGUGUGAUGGUGGCCGAAAUCAGAAAGAGAUGAAUGGUUGGAGCAGCUGUUGCAGAACAAUCCAUUGUACAUACAGAACUUCAUCCAUUGCUCGCUUGAUGUGGUUGAUGACUGAGAUUGCAGAAAAACAAAACUUCUUAAUAUUCGAGGAUCGUAAGUUUGCCGACAUUGGUAACACCAUGACCAUGCAGUAUGAAAGGUUCUUUAGGUUUGAUCUAUGGAUUUCUAACUUCUUCGUCAACAAUAGCAAAUGAUUUGUGGGUAAAAUAUAAAAGUAUG